rnacentral:lncRNA from 1 species
CUGGCCGGACACCACCUGGCUAAGGAAAGAAAUUCUGAAGUGGGUCACUCUGGGGCUCGUUGUUGUCAAAUUGAUAAGUCACAGGCAGUCCCCACGGAGACAUUUGGCUGUUACAAGGCAAGGUAGCGGGCGUUCACGAAGCCGAAGCCUGUCGAUGUGAAGCUAACCAUGUGGCUUAAAGUGUCAAACCGGACCAACACUUUCUUAAGAAAGAAAUGGUGCCCCACCUGGUGUUUCUGUGCUUGAUGGUGCACUCACCAUCAAGCCAAGUCUACAGCUAGAGUAACAAGCUCGCGCUACCGAGCUCAGGCAGACCUCAAGAUCAAUGAAAAUUAUUUUAUACAAUUCUGUUUCUUUGAGAUAAGCCGAUGUGGGAUCGUUUUCCUUCUGUUUUACAUGGCCUAGUUUUACAUUUUUUUGCUGGGUUAAUAAGCCUUUAUAGGAGAUCAAAUGGGCAGUCUGCAUAGGGCAAACAAAGAAGAUAAGGAUUCUUCAUCUUCGGUUUGGUUCCAUUCCUUUCCUUGGAAAAUUUUCAAUUUUGUUAUUUUCAUUCUUAGGUUUUAAACUUUUAAGGUGG